rnacentral:tRNA from 1 species
GUUUUUUUAGCUUAACUACAAAAGCAUUAUGUUGAAAAUAUAAAGAUGAAUUUUCUUAUUCAAAAAACA